AUUUUCGACCUCAGAUCGAACGAGAAUACCCGCUGAAUUUAAGCAUAUUAAUAAGCGGAGGAAAAGAAACUAACGAGGAUUCCUAAAGUAACGGCGAGUGAAAUAGGAAGAGUCCAGCGCCGAAUCUCCCGUUCGUUCGAACGGCGAGAACUGUGGCGUGAAGGAAAACAUUAUUCGGUCGUUUCGCCUUUUCUCAAGUUCGUUUGAUCGCGGCCAAUACCUAAGGAGGGUGCGAGGCCCGUGCGCGACAAGGCGAGCGGUCGAUUCGUUUUCCUCAGAGUCGGGUUGCUCGGGAUUGCAGCCUAAAUCGGGUGGUAAACUCCAUCUAAGACUAAAUAUCAGCACGAAACCGAUAGCGAACAAGUACCGUGAGGGAAAGUUGAAAAGAACUUUGAAGAGAGAGUUCAAAAGUACGUGAAACCGCUUAAAGGUAAGCGGAAGAGCUCGAAAAGGAGGUGCGCGGUUCAGUCGGCGUAGUACCGUACUCGGGUGACGGGGAGAAAGGCCGUUCGCGGUCCUCCCCCGGCGCCAGUUUAAAUUGUGCUGCCCGGCGCAUUCCGCGCGCUAUCGAAAUCGCGACCGAUCGUAGGCCCGUUCCCCCCGCGACGCGGGAGCCGCUUUUUAAGGCUUCACAAGUGGUGAGGGGCGAGCGGCAGCCGACGAUCGAUAUGACUAGGCGGUGGCCUCAGGGCGUACCUUCGGUGACGCGGACGUUUUCCUGAUUCGAUUCGAUGUGACGGUUCGCCGUCGUCGGUCGUCGAAGGGGGCGUCGGUUGCCUCGGUAUCAACCGUCGUUAGGUCCGCGACUUUAAUAAUUCGACGCUUUUCCGACCCGUCUUGAAACACGGACCAAGGAGUCUAACAGGUACGCGAAUCUCGGGGAUUCUAUCGAAACCCACGGGUGCAACGAAAGUAAAGGAUUCUUCCCGAAUCCGAGGAAAGAUACCGGCUUCGGCUGGUCGCAUUUCCGUUCUGUCGCAAUCGGAGCAAUCGCGAUGCGAUGGAAAAAGAGCGUACACGUUGGGACCCGAAAGAUGGUGAACUAUGCCUGGGAAGGAUGAAGCC
rnacentral:rRNA from 4 species